rnacentral:rRNA from 1 species
AAGUCGUAACAAGGUCUCCGUAGGUGAACCUGCGGAGGGAUCAUUACCGAGUGGAGGGCGCUUGGCCGCCCGAACCUCCCAACCCUUUGAUUUGAUCAACGACCUCCUUCUGCCUCGGGGGCGACCCGGACCUUCGGGACGGCGGUCCCCCCGGCGGUACACCUCCAACUCUGCAUCAAUUGUCGUCCUGAGUACCAUUGAAAGCGAAUUCAAUCAAAACUUUCAACAACGGAUCUCUUGGUUCUGGCAUCGAUGAAGAACGCAGCGAAAUGCGAUAAGUAAUGUGAAUUGCAGAAUUCAGUGAAUCAUCGAAUCUUUGAACGCACAUUGCGCCCUUUGGCAUUCCGAAGGGCAUGCCUGUUCGAGCGUCAUUACACCAAUCACGCCUGGCGUGGUAUUGGGCGACGGGGCCCCACCGCCCCGCGCCCAAAUGACCCCGGCGAGGACGGACCGAAUCUCAGCGUUGUGGAAACAGGCCGCUGGCGAGACGGGACGGCCUGCGCGCUUAAACACCCCCCAUCACAGGUUGACCUCGGAUCAGGUAGGGAUACCCGCUGAACUUAA